GAGGUGGCGCAGUCGAGCCAGAGGCAGCGGUGGCAGGAGACUGGCAGAAGUAGAGUCAAGGCAAGAGGAUUCCGUGAGGCUGUAGGCCGACCACGUGGCUCUUUUCUCACGGGGCGGACUUUCCCCGGGAGUGAGGCCUGAGGACUCGGGCUGGAAAGCAAAGGUCAAGGGGAGAGUACCUGUUUCUAGAUAGUCGAGAGGGUCUCAGAGACUCUGGCCCAGGACUCACCCGUCGGUGGAGGCUGUUACUAGGGCCACCUUAUUGGCGAGCGGGUCCCGGCGUGUCAUCCCUGAGCUGGCCAUCCGCACAGACUUCCACGCCCGAGCGCCGCAGUUCAGCAGCAGCCCCGCCUUCGGCAUGGCCGCCGGACCUCGCUUGGCUCCGCAUUGCUCAGGAGAACUUCAAGAUGGACCUCCUUCUCCAAGAAAGUCUGGGUCUACGUAUGUGAUAGCUCAGAAGAGGGCAAAUGUUUUGAGAUUGCCCAUGGAAGUAAAGCCUGUGGUCCUCGCAGAGUCACCAGUCCUGGAGUGCGUACUCUGAUCACUGUGGUAACCAGCAUGCAGGGAAAAAGAUCCUGACUGGACAGGACUUCUCAUACCCUCUACUCCAAGGGGACUACCCCAUUGUACAGGUAGCAAGAGGUGAGAGGAUCUCCCAGCCAGUGGUGGAAGUACAAACUCAGGAGUACUCAAUUCUCCAUAAUCACCAUGUCCCCAGUUCUUAGCCUCCGUCCUAGUUCAAUAAAUAUUUAUCGAAUGUAAAAGCACUUUAUAAACUGGAAACUACUAAACACAUAGUAAUUAUUGCCACUAUUAUUGUUGCCACAGGCCAGGCUCUUCAUCUGUAAACAGAAGAUGCUGGAGGAGGUGAUGAA